UAUCGUACCGGUUAAUCUUUUUGCCGUCGGUAAAGAGGUCUACAUUGACAUUAAGUAUUAUAAAUCGAAGUUUUUUUUAUUUUAGUGAUUAAAUUAGCAUAUGAUGUGGUAACCAGAGAAGGAGUAUCUCCGUUUGGAACUGAACCUAUUUAUAGAUCUAUUCGCUUUUAUGAUUCCGACUACAAUACCAAAGUGGCAAAAUAUUUAGGAGAACAUCGAAAGUUGAAGAAUAAAGAGGUUUAAUUGAUUGUUUUGAACUAUGUUGUAAUUUUUAAUUUUUUCCA